rnacentral:rRNA from 1 species
AUUGAACGCUGGCGGCAGGCCUAACACAUGCAAGUCGAGCGGAUGAAGGGAGCUUGCUCCUGGAUUCAGCGGCGGACGGGUGAGUAAUGCCUAGGAAUCUGCCUGGUAGUGGGGGAUAACGUCCGGAAACGGGCGCUAAUACCGCAUACGUCCUGAGGGAGAAAGUGGGGGAUCUUCGGACCUCACGCUAUCAGAUGAGCCUAGGUCGGAUUAGCUAGUUGGUGGGGUAAAGGCCUACCAAGGCGACGAUCCGUAACUGGUCUGAGAGGAUGAUCAGUCACACUGGAACUGAGACACGGUCCAGACUCCUACGGGAGGCAGCAGUGGGGAAUAUUGGACAAUGGGCGAAAGCCUGAUCCAGCCAUGCCGCGUGUGUGAAGAAGGUCUUCGGAUUGUAAAGCACUUUAAGUUGGGGGAAGGGCAGUAAGUUAAUACCUUGCUGUUUUGACGUUACCAACAGAAUAAGCACCGGCUAACUUCGU